rnacentral:rRNA from 1 species
UACGUAGGGUGCAGGCGUUAAUCGGAAUUACUGGGCGUAAAGCGUGCGCAGGCGGUUUGCUAAGACAGGUGUGAAAUCCCCGGGCUUAACCUGGGAACUGCGUUUGAAACUACAAGGCUAGAGUGUGGCAGAGGGGGGUGGAAUUCCACGUGUAGCAGUGAAAUGCGUAGAGAUGUGGAGGAACACCGAUGGCGAAGGCAGCCCCCUGGGUUAACACUGACGCUCAGGCACGAAAGCGUGGGGAGCAAACAGG